rnacentral:rRNA from 1 species
GCUGAUAAUGGAUGCCUUGGGUAUUCAUGCCGAGGAAGGACGUAUAUGGCGGCGAUACUCGUCGGGGAGGAGCCAUACUCCUGUGAUCCGGCGGUUUCCGAAUCGAGUAAUCGGUCCGAUUUUAUCGGACAGUCCAUCGUAAAGGCGAUCGAAAGAUUGACAUAGCGGUGGGCAGGGCACCAUCUGAACUGAAACAUCUCAGUAAGGUGAGGAAAAAAAAUCAAACGAGAUUCCGUCAGUAGCGGCGAGCGAAAGCGGAACAGCCUAAACCCCGCCGAAAGGCGGGGGGUUGUGGGGCAAGAGACGUGGGAGUGUCGCGGAUAGGAGAAUGCCUUGGAAUAGGCAGUCAAAGAGAGUGAAAACCUCGUAUCCGAAAUCCAAAACACCUCUAUCUUGGUCCCAAGUACCAGGGGACACGAAGGUCCUGUGGGAAUCUGGGGGAACCAUCCUCCAAGGCUCAAUACAUGAAUACACCGAUAGUGAACUAGUACCGUGAGGG